AUUGAACGCUGGCGGCAUGCUUUACACAUGCAAGUCGAACGGCAGCGCGGGCUUCGGCCUGGCGGCGAGUGGCGAACGGGUGAGUAAUACAUCGGAACGUGCCCAGUAGUGGGGGAUAGCUCGGCGAAAGCCGGAUUAAUACCGCAUACGACCUGAGGGUGAAAGCGGGGGAUCUUCGGACCUCGCGCUAUUGGAGCGGCCGAUGGCAGAUUAGCUAGUUGGUGGGGUAAAGGCCUAACAAGGCGACGAUCUGUAGCUGGUCUGAGAGGACGACCAGCCACACUGGGACUGAGACACGGCCCAGACUCCUACGGGAGGCAGCAGUGGGGAAUUUUGGACAAUGGGCGAAAGCCUGAUCCAGCAAUGCCGCGUGUGUGAUGAAGGCCUUCGGGUUGUAAAGCACUUUUGGCGGGAACGAAAAGGACUGUGCCAAUACCACGGUUCGAUGACGGUACCCGCAGAAUAAGCACCGGCUAACUACGUG
rnacentral:rRNA from 1 species